UACGUAGGGUGCAAGCGUUGUCCGGAAUUAUUGGGCGUAAAGAGCUCGUAGGCGGUUUGUUGCGUCGGCUGUGAAAUCCCGAGGCUCAACCUCGGGUCUGCAGUCGAUACGAGCAAACUAGAGUGUUGCAGGGGAGACUGGAAUUCCUGGUGUAGCGGUGAAAUGCGUAGAUAUCAGGAGGAACACCGGCGGUGUAGACGGCUUGCUAGACCAUAACUGACGCUGAGGCACGAAAGCGUGGGUAGCAAACAGG
rnacentral:rRNA from 1 species